rnacentral:rRNA from 1 species
AGUGAACGCUGGCGGUAGGCCUAACACAUGCAAGUCGAACGGCAGCACAGUAAGAGCUUGCUCUUACGGGUGGCGAGUGGCGGACGGGUGGGGAAUACAUCGGAAUCUACUUUUUCGUGGGGGAUAACGUAGGGAAACUUACGCUAAUACCGCAUACGACCUACGGGUGAAAGCAGGGGAUCUUCGGACCUUGCGCGAUUGAAUGAGCCGAUGUCGGAUUAGCUGGUUGGCGGGGUAAAGGCCCACCAAGGCGACGAUCCGUAGCUGGUCUGAGAGGAUGAUCAGCCACACUGGAACUGAGACACGGUCCAGACUCCUACGGGAGGCAGCAGUGGGGAAUAUUGGACAAUGGGCGCAAGCCUGAUCCAGCCAUACCGCGUGGGUGAAGAAGGCCUUCGGGUUGUAAAGCCCUUUUGUUGGGAAAGAAAAGCAGCAGGUUAAUACCCCGCUGUUCUGACGGUACCCAAAGAAUAAGCACCGGCCAACUUCGUG